rnacentral:misc_RNA from 1 species
ACUUGGCAGAGGCCAAAGUUGCCAGGCAGUGGGGAUCUCAGUUACACACAUUCUGUGUUGGUUUGAAGGGUUCACCCGACCUGAAGGCUGCCAAAGAAGUCGCGGAUUAUCUCGGCACUUUUCACCAUGAGUUUCACUUUACCGUGCAGGAGGGGAUUGAUGCGCUUGAGGAUGUCAUAUAUCACAUAGAGACGUAUGAUGUUACCACUAUUAGGGCAAGCACCCCAAUGUUUCUUAUGUCUCGUAAAAUUAAGUCAUUGGGUGUGAAG